rnacentral:rRNA from 1 species
UACAGAGGGAGCAAGCGUUGUUCGGAAUUACUGGGCGUAAAGGGCGCGUAGGCGGUUCGAUAAGUCCCGUGUGAAAUCCCUCGGCUCAACUGAGGAAUGGCACGGGAAACUGACGGGCUUGAGUUCGGGAGAGGGAAGCGGAAUUCCGGGUGUAGCGGUGAAAUGCGUAGAUAUCCGGAGGAACACCGGUGGCGAAGGCGGCUUCCUGGACCGACGCUGACGCUGAGGCGCGAAAGCUAGGGGAGCAAACGGG